UGGCCAUGUCUAGUACGGCGAGUGAGCGGCAACAGCUCAAAUUUGAAAGCUGGCUUAGGCCCGCAUUGUAAUUUGCAGAGGAUGCUUCUGGCGAGGUGCCUUCCGAGUUCCCUGGAACGGGACGCCAUAGAGGGUGAGAGCCCCGUAUGGAUGGACACCAGACCUGUGUGAAGCUCCUUCAACGAGUCGAGUAGUUUGGGAAUGCUGCUCUAAAUGGGAGGUAAAUCUCUUCUAAAGCUAAAUACCGGCCAGAGACCGAUAGCGCACAAGUAGAGUGAUCGAAAGAUGAAAAGCACCUUGAAAAGGGGGUUAAACAGUACGUGAAAUUGUUGAAAGGGAAGCGCUUGUGACCAGACUUGCGCCGGGCAGCUCAUCAGGGGUUCUCCCCUGUGCACUCUGCCCGGCUCAGGCCAGCAUCGGUUCUCGUGGGAGGAUAAGAACGGUAGGAACGUGGCCCCCCUCCGGGGGGGUGUUAUAGCCUGCCGUACGAUACUCCCGUGGGGACCGAGGUUCGCGCUCCGCAAGGAUGCUGGCGUAAUGGUCAUCAGCGACCCGUCUUGAAA
rnacentral:rRNA from 1 species